rnacentral:tRNA from 1 species
GCGGAUAUGGCGGAAUUGGCAGACGCGGCGGUUUUAGGUGCCGCUGGGCGACCGUGCAGGUUCGAGUCCUGUUAUCCGCA